rnacentral:rRNA from 1 species
CGCUUCUUGCUUAACAAAGAUAAGAAGUCGGGCCUGCCCGGUGAGCUAUAUUAAACGGCUGCAAUGAGAGUUGUACUAAGGUAGCGCGAUAAUUUGUCUCUUAAUUGGAGAAUGGUAUGAAUGGUUUGUCGCAGAUCAAUUGUCUCUGAAAAAAAAAACGAAGUUUCCUUUUAAAUGAAAAGGUUUAAAUACUUGUAAAAGACGAGAAGACCCUGCCGAGCUGAAUUAUUCUGAGGUAAUUGGGUAGCUUGAUUAUCUUUAGUUGAAAUUUAGCUGGGGAGAGCUGGAUUUAAUUGAAUAAAUCCUAAUAAGACAAUGAUCCUUUUUGAGAGAAAACUGGUAAGAGCUACCGCAGGGCUAACAGCGUAAUUCUUCUUGAGAGACCCUAUUGAGGGAAGAGUUUGCGACCUCGAUGUUGGAUUAGGAGAGCUUUUUGGUGCAGCAGCUAAAAGUUGCAAGACUGUUCGUCUUUUAAAUCU